GACGAACGCUGGCGGCGUGCUUAACACAUGCAAGUCGAACGGAAAGGCCCUGCUUUUGUGGGGUGCUCGAGUGGCGAACGGGUGAGUAACACGUGAGUAACCUGCCCUUGACUUUGGGAUAACUUCAGGAAACUGGGGCUAAUACCGGAUAGGAGCUCCUGCUGCAUGGUGGGGGUUAGAAAGUUUCGGCGGUUGGGGAUGGACUCGCGGCUUAUCAGCUUGUUGGUGGGGUAGUGGCUUACCAAGGCUUUGACGGGUAGCCGGCCUGAGAGGGUGACCGGCCACAUUGGGACUGAGAUACGGCCCAGACUCCUACGGGAGGCAGCAGUGGGGAAUAUUGCACAAUGGGCGGAAGCCUGAUGCAGCAACGCCGCGUGCGAGAUGACGGCCUUCGGGUUGUAAACCGCUUUCGCCUGUGACGAAGCGUGAGUGACGGUAAUGGGUAAAGAAGCACCGGCUAACUACGUG
rnacentral:rRNA from 1 species